rnacentral:lncRNA from 1 species
UGCGUUUUUUUUUUCUUGAAUUUCAUAAAUAUGUGAUUUUCUGAAAAACUGCACUUUGUUUUGUGAAUUAACUGUGCUAAAGUUUUGGAUUAUUCUUGUAAUCAUGAUAUAUUUGUUUUGCUUAUUGAUAUUUGAUUGAGAGUAUCUGAAUUUCUUAGAGUAAACCCUAGAAAAACGCAAAACCUGAUUUUGACCGAAUAGUCGGUAUUUUCGGAUGUCCGCGAACUUGACAGACUCCGAUUGAGCUGAAAUUUGGUGGGUCCAUCAGACGUUUUUCUAUUUUGUGGAAAUUAUUUCUUAAUAAGUUUAAUUCUUUUUUAAUUCAAUGGUUGUGGGGUGACUCCCCAUAGUCCCUAUGAUUAAAUACUAGUCAUAUAAUAGGUUUACUUAUUGGCUAUUAGCAAAUAGACGUGUUGUUGUACUAAAUUCAAUAAUAAAUGUGUAGGAUUUUAUUGAGUAGGUCUUACAAGGUAUAAUUGAUAUUGUGUGAUGAUAUAAUUAUUUUGUAAGAAAGUAAAAUUCUCUAUCCUGGAUGACUAAUGAUCGGAGCGUACGGCAUAUUUGUGCAUAAAAAAAAAUUCUCAAAUUUAAGUUUAUGUUUUCAUGCCCUACGUGAUUACUAGUUUGGAUUUU